rnacentral:hammerhead_ribozyme from 1 species
GCACUGCUGACGAGUCCCACAAUAGGACGAAACGGCCGUCCAGUGU